GACCUCAGAUCAGGCAAGACUACCCGCUGAAUUUAAGCAUAUUAAUAAGCGGAGGAAAAGAAACUAACAAGGAUUCCCU
rnacentral:rRNA from 6 species